AUAGGGAGUCGGACCUGCCCAGUGAAAUAUUUUUAACGGCCGCGGUACUCUGACCGUGCAAAGGUAGCAUAAUCAUUUGCCCUAUAAUUGAGGGCUAGUAUGAAUGGUUUGACAAGAAUAAAGCUGUCUCUUUUCAAUUAUAUAGAAUUUUAUUUUUAGGUGAAGAAGCCUAAAUUAAAUUAAAAGACAAGAAGACCCUAUCGAGCUUUAAAUAAGUUAAUAGUUUCAUAGAUAUAUUUAUAAAGCAAUUUCUAUUAAAAAUUUUGGUUGGGGCGACAAAGGAACAUAUGAAGCUUCUUUUUAAAUUAUGUAAACUAAGCAAGUAUUGAUCCAAUAAAUUUUGAUUAAAGGAAUUAGUUACCGUAGGGAUAACAGCAUUAUCUUUUUUGAGAGCUCAUAUCGAAAAAAAGGUUUGUGACCUCGAUGUUGGACCAGAAUAUCCUAAAGAUGCAGAAGUCUUUAAGGGUUGGUCUGUUCGACCAUUAAAAUUCU
rnacentral:rRNA from 1 species